rnacentral:rRNA from 1 species
AGUGAACGCUGGCGGCAGGCCUAAUACAUGCAAGUCGAACGGCAGCACAGCAGAGCUUGCUCUGUGGGUGGCGAGUGGCGGACGGGUGAGGAAUACAUGGGAAUCUGCCCAGUCGUGGGGGAUAAACGUAGGGAAACUUACGCUAAUACCGCAUGCGCCCUUCGGGGGAAAGCCGGGGACCUUCGGGCCUGGCGCGAUUGGAUGAGCCCAUGUCGGAUUAGCUAGUUGGCGGGGUAAUGGCCCACCAAGGCGACGAUCCGUAGCUGGUCUGAGAGGAUGAUCAGCCACACUGGAACUGAGACACGGUCCAGACUCCUACGGGAGGCAGCAGUAGGGAAUAUUGGACAAUGGGCGCAAGCCUGAUCCAGCCAUGCCGCGUGAGUGAAGAAGGCCCUCGGGUUGUAAAGCUCUUUUGUCCGGAAAGAAAAGCGCCGGGUUAAUACCCUGGUGUCCUGACGGUACCGGAAGAAUAAGCACCGGCUAACUUCGUG